GGUGUAGGUGGCUAGAUAAGUCAGAAGUGAAAGCCCUGGGCUCAACCCAGGAAGUGCUUUUGAUACUGUUUAGCUUGAGUAUGGGAGAGGGUAGUAGAAUUUCUGGUGUAGUGGUGAAAUACGUAGAUAUCAGAAGGAAUAUCGGCGGCGAAGGCGGCUGCCUGGCCCAAUACUGACACUCAGACCCGAAAGCGUGGGGAGCAAACAGGAUUAGAUACCCUGGUAGUCC
rnacentral:rRNA from 1 species